rnacentral:lncRNA from 1 species
ACCUUCUCCUUCCCUUUCUUUGAUGUUGCAACUCUGUGAACAAUUUUGAGAUUGUUUGCCCAAUAGACCAGCUGUGAAUUCAUGAAGAUGUACUUAUUGACAUUCACAAUUUCUCAGCUAAGUCUUCAUCAGAGAUCGUGCCUGCAGCACUCGAUCUGAAAUGAAGAGCAAGCUCUCCGCGUUCAUCCCGAUUGCUGCGACAGGCUAUCCCACGAUGACCCUUCUUCCUCUUUCCUGAAUAUGCCUCAAUUUCAUCUUCAUCCCCGCUAUUAGGCGUCUUGUCUUGAAACACCUCUUGUCCCCACCUUUCCUUCGCAACCUUCCUUUCCAUGGGGUCGGGAAA